rnacentral:misc_RNA from 1 species
UUAGCGAUUAUAUAGUACUCAGACGACACUAAUGUUCAGAGUUUUAGGCCUUUGGCGGGCACUUACCAGCGAGAGCCGGUAGCCGAGACGGCCCGCCAAAGCAACGAACGAUAGAAGUACGCAAGGGUGGGAGAUCUACCCGCGAGGGCAUGAACUCUGUAAUGAUCCUUCCGCAGGUUCACCUACGGAAA